UUUUUCCUGUGGAAAAAGAGAAACACUGAGCUGCUUGGCAGUAGAGAGCAGUGGUCAGGUUGCAGUCCCGAAUUUGUGAGGAAGCUGGGAAGUGGUGCAGGGCUGCAUGGAUCUUCCAGAGGUGAAUUUUUAAUGUCCAACAAGGGCAUGGACUGCAUGUGAAGGCCUGGAACCUGCUCUGUUGUUUCCAUCACUGACCUCUGAUACCACCUGGAGCAAGACAGCUGAUGGUAGCAGCGACCUGUCUCCUGCACAGUGACCAAAAAGCAGGUAGAAGGAGAGGGUGAAGUGCUGUGCGCUACGUGAAGUGUUAUUGAAGUGCUGGGUGUCAAUAAUCAAGCCAUGUUCCCCUACCACCAUCCCAUCCCUACAGCUCCUCACCGUCUGAUCGGCUCUGACUGCCCGAGACCCUGGGCUACCAGAAACCCUGCGAUACGUCGUUGCAGCUUCCAGAGAGAAGACCCUGAUCUUUUACUGAAAAGAGAGAAGAUACUGGGCUUUCCUUUAUCUUAAACAACUUCAGAAAAAGUUGAUUUCCUUGGAGGAUUCCCUUGUGCCAUUCUCCGAGCACAGCGUGCUUUUAUCAGAAGCAGAGCCUGUUUGUCCGUGUCACCUUAACAUUUAGUUCGUACUCUGCUGAUAUCAAUUAAGGAGGGAAUUCAUAAAGGUCAGUUAGUGGCCUAUUAUUCACACAGCCCCAGAAGUUAUGGAAUCACGGGUAACUCCCAGGUAGAGCAGCUUGUUUCCUAGCUCACAUUGUAGCUGUUUGGGCUUUGAACUCGACUGCUUUCAGUGCAGUCCCUGGGACUUCAGCCAGGGUGGGUUCAGUUUCAGCUUCCAGUGCAAGAUCCCCUGAUGGCAUCCUCGUGGAAAUGAAGACCAUGUUCCCGUUCCCUUUCACUCUGGCAAAUGUUACCUGUGCUGUCUCAGGUCUCUUAUGUAUAAAUCUAAAUAAAAUAGAAAUAGUCAAAUAAUACUUUUCUGCCUGCUAGUGGGCAGGUGGCCCAAUCUUAAGGAGAUUAAAGGCUUUCAGCCCUCUUUAGGAACAGCUUUUUCGUUCUAUUUUUAGAGAUGGAGACUGUCUCUGUCUAUACCCACCUGGAGAAUUGUCCUUUACCCGACGUAUGUAAAUAACAGCCAGCCUUACUGUGAAAACAGAACAAAGCUUCCCAAGUCCUGCAUGACUGGGACGUGCCCGCGGCGCUGGCAGAGCCCUGUGGCAGGGUGUUUGUGGUGGCAGGGGGUGGCAGGGUGCUGGACGCGGUGCUCAGCGCAUCCGUCAGCUGCACGUCCCAGCAGGUGGGCAGCCCUCGGAGCCGUUCCUCCUGCAUUCGGCUCACGCCACAUCGCUGUCUGGGAGUCCCUCAUUUAGCGAUUUAUGGGCCGUGUCAGCGUAAUUUAGUGUCUUAAUACUGCUGGUCAAGGACCAUCAACGUCUUCUAAACCUCCGUCGUCCUUGGUAGGGAAGGGAAGCAGAACCCGCUCGGAGGCAGCUCUCUGGGCAGCUGAGGGACAGCUGCGUUGGAGGCAGAGGCAGUGUACAUCCUUGGAGAUGGAAUUAUUUCUCUGCUGAAAAAAAAAAAAUUGACUUAAACAGCAUUAAAACAAGCAGGGGGGGAGGAUGUUCAUUGAAACAGCCACCUCGUGGGGCUCUGCUGUUCCCCGAAGGCUGCAGCAGCUGUGCCCAGGUAGUGCAGGGUAAGCGGGUGAGCAGGUGGCAGAUCUUGAGCAAGGCUGGCCUCGAGCUUGCUCGCUGGCCUCAGAGCUUGCUCACUGUCUUCAGAGUCUGCUCGCUGUCCUUAGAGUUUGCUUUCCGUCCAGCCACCCCGGCUGGACAAUCAUUUCCAUACUCAAGGGCGGACAGAAAUGAAAGCCGAAGUGCUUUCAGCAGCGUCUGCACUUUGGGGGGUAAAUCUGCACGUUUUUACACCUUCAUGGUUUUUAAACCCUGCUUUCAAGGCGAAAAAGUCAUGAGCAAUGCCAGCUUUUUCAAUCAUCCGUGAAGAAGUCUUUCACAACUCGCCCUAGCCUAGCCUGGUUCACAAGGUAUAGCAAUGAAAAAAUGUUUUGCAAUGAUUCAAAGGUCUGCUUACCGGGAAUGGUGUCAGAGGUGUCCUACUGCUGGUACCAAUGGAGAAAAUAAGGAAUAGUGCAAAAAUCUCCAUGUAAAAUAGUAGCUUAAAAAAUAGUAGCUUAAGUGGUAGGGGAUAGGUGAUUAUUGUAAGAAAAAGGUAAGGGUGAACAUAAUGGAUUGGGGUUUACUGGUGUGUGCCUUCUCUGGAGUAUCUCAGGGAGAAAUGGCGCUAUAUUCUUCCUGAAAGAUUUGUGAGGAGCCUUAUGCCUGUUUUUGUUCCCAGAAGGAGGCGUGCGGGUCCCUGGAGGCGGAGGUUGGUGCUGCUGCACUUGGCUCUCGAGCCCUCCAGCCCGUGCUGUUGAGGAAUCGCAGCUGCCCGUGGGGCUGUCGCCCCUCUCGGCGUGUUAUGCCGUGUUUGUCUAAAUGUUUGUUCUCUGCUGAGAUGCUAGGAGGGUUUUGCACAGGGUGCAGCACAGGGAACGUUCACGUGCGAUUGCUCUUAGUCACUUCCAAUAACAAACACGAUUAGGAGUGUCAUUAUUUCCAGCAGCAGCGUUCUCCUGAGGAACCUUUUCCUGCCUGCUCGUCCCGCCCGGUCCCCCCCGGCUCGUAGAAGAGUCCUGUGCACACUUUCAGGGAAGUUUCCUCCUGUUGAGCCUCGCUCCUCUUCUGCUGUUUUCUUGCAGCGAGUGCAGGCCAAGGACACCUCGGGAGGCCAUUUGUUUUGCAACUGGUCUUUUCACAUUGGGGGGACAAGGAGAAAAAAUACAGCUCUGGCUUUGAAAUUCCCCGUGCAGUAAGAGCAAGGCUUUGCUGUCCUUUUUUUUUUUUUUUUUUUUUCAAUAAGAAAAUCUCAAGGAAAGGGGUGAGGAGUGUUUUAUCUUGCUGAUAGGAGAAUAUUAAAAACACAGGAGGAUGCUGUGAGGACGUGUAACCUUCACUGCUCCGAACCAAAGAGAGGCAGUAGAUAAAGUGCCAGUGCCUUUGUCCUAGCACUGCUCCUGUUUACUCUGCCGUGCAAGUCUGGGGAGGUGUUUAAUGACUUUUCACAUCACCAUGGGGACACUGAGACAAGAGAAACAUUCAUUUCCAGGUUUCUCUUCCUCCCCUUUUUUCCCCACUCCUCUGCCUCGCUCGGAUACUCCUCUGUGGAGCCCAGCUGCCCUCGUUCACGUGUGACACUUCUGUUGUAAUCGCUGUGGGUUUGCGGGAGGCAGCAUCCGUGGGGCAGCGUGCAGGUAGCUGUGGGAGGCUUGGCUCCUCUGGGAGGGAAGGAAAGGCUUCAGCUGGUGACACCACAGCACAGGUGGGCACGAGACAUAGAGCAGCACAUCCCCAGUUCCCCAGGACUUCUCCAGCCUCGCUCUCCUCGCCAGCACGAGCAGCUCGGCGUUGAGCAGUUCUCCAGGAUUUAUAACGCGGGAGCGCUGCGUGAGUCACCAGCGCUGGGGGCCGCACUUGCAGACCUCUCGGUCUAAAUCCAAGAGCUGCUACAGCCGGAGGUAAAAGGCCACUUCUGUGCGACGAAGGGAGCAGGAGAGCCAUAAACCACCCCACGGCGUCCGUGCCCCCUGGAGCAGUGCGGAGGUGGCUCUGCCCCAUGGCCGUGGGCGCUGCCCACCCAAGCCGUGCUGGGGCGUGGAGACAAAUCCUGCUUGCAAAGGUGGCCAGCAGCAAUCUGUAGCCUGUAAGGUGCACGGAUGCUACGUAAUUCUGGCUUCUGGCUUCUGCCAGCGUCCCUGUGUUUAAAGGUGAUGUUGAGGGGUGGGAAGCGAGCAGCCCCUCUGCUCUUGUCGCAGAGGUUUCCCUCGGUACGGCUCAUGGCUGCUCCUGCACGCCAAGGCCAGCAACGCUUCCUUCUCUAGGCACUGCCUCCUGAGUCCUGGCUUCAAACCGCUGCCCACAGAGUGGGUCCAGCAGGCACCUGCCUGCAGCCUGCUUCUGUGCAACAGGGCUUUCUGGGGGUGUAAAAACAGUGAAUGUGUCUGUUGGAGCGAAGUGUGUAUACCCGUCUGCACCCACGUGCAAGGCUCAGUCUGGAUGUCUGCACGAUAAGCAGAGCACAAGACAUUGCAGACGCCUGUGCAGAGCAAGCAGGGCUUUGGUUCGAAACAAGGCUGGGGGAAAACAAGAAACGAGCUUUCUGUCGUCCUCACCCCCAAAAUGUUGAGGUUUGGAGCUUUCCUUUCCUUCUAAUGCAGUGAUGGUGAUCAGCUUUGUGGGGCAAUGUGAACUCCACCUGCUAACUGCCCAGCGGUGAACCAUCCCCACAGCAAGUAUUAAGUUACGGGGAAGUUCCUCGAGGAUCCACAUCCCAUGGGGCAUCUGCUCAUGGAAGUAUCAGUAUCGCCAGCCUGCAUUAUAGCAGUUGCGUUGUAAAGCUGAAGCUAAUGAAGCUAGACCUGACCGUAUCAACUUUUAAUUAGAGUUCAGGCCGUGGCCAGUAUUAGAGAUAGUGGAAGACACCAAAAACAUCUUGAGAAAAUGCUAUGUGUUCCAAAAAGUAUGAUUUUGUCAAAACCAAAAUAUUUUGCUGGAAGGAGUCAGUUUCAAUGAUAGUUCCAGCUGGGAAUAGCUGAAACAAAUCAUUUAGAUUUUG